UACAGAGGGUGCGAGCGUUGUCCGGAAUCACUGGGCGUAAAGGGCGCGUAGGCGGCCUGAUAAGUCGGGGGUGAAAUCCUGUGGCUUAACCACAGGGCUGCCUCCGAGACUGUCGGGCUCGAGCACAGUAGAGGCAGGUGGAAUUCCCGGUGUAGCGGUGGAAUGCGUAGAGAUCGGGAAGAACAUCGGUGGCGAGGGCGGCCUGCUGGGCUGUUGCUGACGCUGAGGCGCGACAGCGUGGGGAGCAAACAGG
rnacentral:rRNA from 1 species